UGCUCUCUCUUUGGCAAUCUCAUCCACUUUCUCACAUACUUCUUUGAUCUUGAGGGCAAUGUCGCGACGUCGAGCCACUUGAGUGAGACAAAAGCAAGGAGAUCCCAGGAAGGAACAUCGUAUCUGCUGUAGGCUGUGAUUAUUUUCUUCAGCAUCCCUCAUUUUUCAUGUAAGAAUUGCAGAGCUCCAUUCAUCUAGCACAUCAUCGAUAUCAUAGCAUACAUCUUUGAGCUUGUCUAGCCAAUCUCUUGCAACCUUAUCCUUCACUUGCUUUCUAUCUGCAUCUUCAAGGACAGAUUGGAUAGCAAGGAGAUUGCUUUUCAGCUUGUCGACUUGUUUCUGCACACCCCCUACUAGGUUCACCUCUUCCUGUACCUAUUGGUGUAGAAAAGAUAAGAAAGUUGAAGCAGAGGAAACAUUUCUAUGAUUUCUUUACAAGUUUUUAAUUUUAAUUUUUGGUAAUGAAUAGAUUAGCAGUAGUUGACACGUACUGCGAAAUGGAUUGGCUAUAUUAAUAAUUUAUACAUAAAAUAUUUAUUAAAAACCUAUAUAUUAAAAAUAAUAAUAUUUCUUUUUUGUUAUCAUCAUGAUGAUACCUGUCUGCACUCUUCCACUACAAAGAAAUAUAUAAAAGGAAUAAAAGGAAAGUGAAUAAAAGGAUCUGUAUUUGUUGGUAUUUGUAAAGUCCAUUGACAACUCAUUCUUUUUCCUUCUAAAGAUGUUUGAUUUGAGUAUUUGAGAUUUUAUUUUGUUUUUCUUAAAGGGAAGAAAAAAAGACUUCAUUUUUAUGUUUCUUAUUCAUGGUAGGUUAAUUAGGUCAUUGCAAAUUGUAUAAAAGCAAGUACCUGUUGAGCAACGAUCCUCGUUAACUGCUCCAAAAUUGGUGAUAAAAGUGCCUCUGCCAUUUGCCUGUUUAGUUUAAUUUUAUUUUAUUUUUAAAAAAGAGACAAUGAUGAGAGGAUGAACUGAGAGAGAGAGAGAGAAGAGAGUGUGAGGGGAAGGAGGCUGCUGGUUGUGAAAUGAAGAGAGAGGGUUAGUUUAUGUACUUGGGCCUUGGGGUUUGCUGAUGAGGGUUAAAGUUUUUUUUAGUCCCUGUAUGAUUUUUAACAUUUCAAUUUAGCCCCUAUAUUAUUGGACUUCUCAGUCUAGUCUCGGUCAGGGGUUACAUACUGAAAUGUAUCUGAUAUGGACACUGAUUAUAGCAUUAUACUGAAAUCCUUUCUUCUUCUUCUUCUUCUUUUUUUUUUUUUUUCACUCCUUUAUUAACGUGAUUUAAGGCACUUCUUUCGUUGUCUUUUUCUACUUUUUCAUAAUUUAAGGUACUUCUUUCUUGUUUUAGCUAGAAACAUAAUGCAAGACAAUUAGAAAAACAAAGGAAGAGUGUUUUCAAGAUUCAGGAAUCCGAGAGUGAAGAGCUGACAUGCAGAUGCAGGAACAUAGGAAGAGAGUUGUUUGGUUAUUAAAAUAAGGGCUAAGGUUAUGAAAUCUGGAAAUUGAAAGUCAGAUCUAAAUUACAGAGGAAAUCAGCUAACACCACCGGCGAAGUGAAUUCUUGCAUGACAGCAGCAGUUUCCCUCACAAGUUGUCUGACAGGAAUUGGUUCCUACAACCAUAAAAAUUCACAAGUUAGAACCUUCACGAUUUAACUCUUGGAUUUCACGCUAGAUUCAGCAGCGGUUGGGGUCAGAAUGACAUUGUUGGGAAGAAGACAACUAACAACAAGUCUUGUGAUACAGACAACCUCAAUAAGUACUUUCCAGAUGUAUUAUCUUAACCAGGUCAUCAAGCAUUAGAGGAAUUAUGUACAUGAGUUUGUUUAGAGACAUCAAAAGGAUGCCCAUACACCAUUCAUAAGAUAAGCCAUGGAAAUUUAACAACCUUAUCACUUAUCAGUGAAAUUAAAAGAAGAGCUGAAGAACAAACGUGGAGUUUUAUAUAACUAUAUUAUUUGAUAGUUUUAUCUAUAUUUAUCUAAUAUUUUAAAUAUGUUUUAUAUAUAAAAUAUCUUGAUAUUUUUUGUUUUAUAUCUUGAUAUUUUUUGUUUUAUAUUUUAAAAACACUUUUGAAUAUAAAAUUAAAAAAGAAGUAAAUUGAAGAUAAUUAACAGAUUUGAUCUCCAAUCAAUGAGAUUCAACUCUAGAAGUCGAAACGAAGUGAUUUCAAGGGCAUUAAAAAUCCAACAUCCAUACCUUUCUAUAUAUAUACGGCAAAAAAAAUAAAAAGAGAAAGAGCAUCGAGAUCGCAGCUUUCAAAGACAAAUCUGGCAUUUUAUCAGUGUUGAUCUUUGAUCAUUCUAACUUGAAUAUCUUGAGUUAGAGAAGUUUAUUUGAUGCAAACUCAAUUUUAUUGGAUUCCUGACUCAAAGAUCUAUCAUCAUACCAAAGUUCAGCAUAAAAAGAGCUCAUAUGAGAGAAAUAUAAUUUUUUCUAAGAUGCCACAUGAAUUCUACCAGUAGACAAGUUUUAUGAAGAAAUAAGUACAAAUUAAAUCCCAAAGCAUUCAAACCGACAUCCAAAUCUUUAUUUCGGCAAUUUAACUUCUCAAAGUCAAAAGUCAAAACUUGAAGAAAUUAUGCAAUACAAACACAAUUCUAAACAAAUAUAAUUUCAAAAUUUAAAAUAUUUCUAAGUAGUCAAAAUAGAUUUUUAACUUAAAGUAAUUCAAUUUAAACAAAAUAUCAAAAUAUUUUGAAAGUAAAAUAUUUUAACAAAAAUAUUUUAAAUAUAAAGUUAGGUCAAUGUUAUCAAGGCUAAUGGAAUCUAAAGUAUCCCUUAUUUUGCUCAAAUUCCUACAAAGUAUAAACAUAUAUAUAUAUAUAUAUAUAAACAUGAAUAUAAACCAUAUAUAUUAGUGAUAAAUCCAAUUUUAAAAAAUUAAUAUCAUUGUUAAUAAAAUAGUAAUAAUAAUUUUCAAUAUUAUUAUUAAUAUCAUUGUUAUUGAAAAUAGUAAUGAAAAAAAGCUUUUUAUUAUUAGGCAGUUUAAUUAAUUAAAUUGAACAAGGUUCAAUUUAAUUCAAUGACUUUUUAAGAACGGAACAUAACAUGUGGAAUGAAACCGGAACGUUCCGGGCGGAAUUUAGCUGAAAAAUCCGGAACGGACCGAGAUUUAAAAUGAGAUGAAAUUUGUUCCGUUUUGUUCUGUUUUUUGAAUUGGUAUGAAAUGUUUCGGCCCUGAUGAAACGAAAUGGAAUUGACAAUCUUGCUUCUAGAGAUAUCUUUAAGAGAGAGAGAGAGAGAGAUUACAAGUCAACAAUAAAUGAUUACAAAUGAUUUCAAUCCAAUUACAGUAAAGAGGUAUAUGAAACAUUAGGUGCAUAAACACAACAUUGAAUGAAAUCCUCCACGUAAACACCAAAGCAAACAAUUAAUACACUCAGAAUCAAAACGGAAGCCACUCUGUAGUAGCUCUUUAGUAUCUUCAAAGCCCAAGCUGUCAAACACACACCAAAAGCAUACGUGUCAUCACCAAAACAAUCCAAUGGAUGCCCUUCGAUUUGAUUCCAAAAAUAUUAUAACUUGGAAAAUCUUCAGAUGCACAUGUUAAAUAUAUCAUGUAAUGGUAAACAAGAAUUAGUAAAUAAAAAACAAAGUUAAUUAAUUUGUAUCUUUCUCCUCAUCCACUAACUCUUGCUUCUUUUUUUCCCAUGAAAAAACGGAGAGCCGAAAAUAGAUUUGUUAAAAAUUAAAAUUAUAAUCUCUACGCUAAUAAUUAUAAUAGUAAAAUCUUUUACAGUUAAGAAGUAACACUGGUAGUAGAAUUUACCUGUUAAUUCCUGUCGGUCCUACAGACUUCCGUAGAGGUCUUAACUAUAAAUAGAAAUGUUUGGGAUGCGAGAAAUCUUUUGCCAAUCUUCACCCAUCUCCUCCUUCCCGUAACGUUUCCUUAGAUUGCGGCAACCACUUAUGUCCAAUCCUGUAGAGGCGCUGCCAAAACAUAGUCUGGUAGUGCUCUCAACAACGGGCAAUAUCAAUAUCAACUCUCGAAGUUGUGGCAUAAUGGAUAUUAUUGAAGUUGUGUUGGCAUCUUCUUCUCCCACUCUCCUUCAAUUCCAUCCCACUCUUCUACUUCUUGAGAUCCAAAUAUAAGUUUUUUAAUUUGGGGAAAGCAGUGACCCUUGCAAUUUCUCCUUCAUUAAUACUGGCAUUCUCAUCUUUUUCUAUACCUAAAAAUCCAGCAUCCAGCCUUCUCACCUUCACCCAUCAAUACCAGGCUUUCAAGGUUGGGCAAUCUUCCCAACGGAGGCAAGACCUCCACGUUUUCACAAUCACAGUUAAGCCCUGUAAUCUGGUUAAUGUCAUCAUCCAAUUUGGCAAUCCAACCCUCCGUACUAUAUGGUUAGAUUUCCAAGUCUGACGGAGGCUGUAAAGCUUCAAUUAAAGAGCCUUCAUUCGCUUGCAACUCUGUUAUCUCUCUGUCGAAAAACAAUCCCAAACAACGCAGGCGUUUCUUAUUCUUGAGUUGUGCUUCUGCAGCGUCACUCGCAUCUUCUUUACCGACUCCUAGAUUCUGUAUCUGAAGACUACCUCCAAUGUGAUUUAAGUUUUUUAAUUCUCUCAGAUUAGCUGCUUUACUUCCAUUCUCACCACCACCACACACAGUAAACCGAUCUAAUGUUCGAAGACAUGUUAUCCUCUCUAUUCCCUUUGGUAUGAAGGCCACUUCUGAACCAUAAAUCCGGAGAUGCCUCAAUUUGAUAAGUUUUCCAAUAGCCUUGGGCAAUUCCUUGAGAGACCGACACCAAGUAACAUCUAGGGAUUGCAGAUUGCAUAAAUCACACAUGGUUUCUGGCAGGGAUUCCAACUGAAAACAAGAUGCCAGAUUGAGGUGUCUCAAAUGUAUCAAUUUCCCUACCUCGUUUGGUAUUUCUUUGAUUGAAGACCCUGACAAAUUCAAUGACCUGAUGCAUGUCAACUGCUUGAACAAAUCAGGCAGUGCAGCUCCAAGCGAAGGGUCUCUAGUGUCGAACAAUAGGCUGCGAAGACCUUUUGCUUUGUGAAUGGACACGGGAAAAGAGGUCUCCUCUGACAGCAUCAUGCUUAAAUGACGAACCCUUUCAAUUGAAGUCUCCACUGUUGCUUCUCCAAGUGUAUUGACAUCCACUGUUAGACAUUCAUUUUUUGUCAUAUAUUGGGCAAAAUCAUGCACUAUAUCAUGCAUCUUGAAUCUAAUAUGUUCUCGAUCAUACGUCUUAAAAUCUUGGAAGAAAGAGCGCGCUGCCAAGACUUGAAAGUAAUCCUCCCCAACAAGCUCCAUGUCUCUACUUGUAGUCUCCUUAAGGUAACCUUGAGCCAUCCACAUCUUCACCAAUUCAUCUUUUCAUCGUAGUCUUUUGGAAACAUGGCACAAUACAAGAAACAUCGUCUUACCACAGAAGGUAAAUCGUAGUAACUCAAAAGCAAAGGUAAAAUAGUCCCUCUUUCAACAUGUUCUAGCUCCCACAUUCGCUAGAUAAAACACGUUCCCACUCUUCUCUUGUUCUUUUAGACUGCAUUAGACCUCCUAAUACCUUGGCAGCUAGAGGCAAGCCCUUGCACUUGCUUGCAAUUUUAUCGCCGAUAUCUGUCAAUCUUUCGCGCUCAUCUUGCUUCUUUCCUGGAAUGCCACUGAUUGAAUAUUGACCUGCAUACCUCAUCAGACAAUUUCUCAAUGUUGAUCCGGUGGUCAGUUCCCAUCAUCGUUGCCACAGAAUGUUUACGAGUGGUCACUAGAAUUCUGCUUCCUCGUGCACAGCCUGUGAGAGAUGGUUUCAGUUGUUCCCAUUGUCCAUGAUUUUCUGUCCAGACAUCAUCAAGGACAAGAAGGAACCUCUUUCCCUUAAUGGAUUCAGAAACCCUUGCAAAAGGGAUUGCAAUUCAACCAAAUCGGCCCUCCCUUCAAGCUGCUCAAGGAUAGCUUUGGCUAUUCUAACCUCAUCAAAUGGUUCUGAAACACACACCCAUAUCUUUUUCUCAAAAUGAGCCGUAACCUCAGCAUCAUUAAAAGCUAGUUGGGCGAGAGUUGUUUUUCCAAUUCCGCCCAGCCCUACUAGAGAGAUGACAUCCACGUCCCGUGCUUCCUGACUACUUUCGCCAGCAACUUGCUUACAGCUUCCUUUUCACAUCUCGACCAUCACGCUUGAUUCAUCAACAAAGGAGGUACUUGUUAUUCGUUGGAGUUCAUCAGUGGCUUGUACAGAUCAAAGCCAUACAUAGCUCUCUCUUUGGCAAUCUCCACUUUUUCACAUACUUCUUUGAUCUUGAGGGCAAUGUCUCGACGUCGAACCACUUGAUUGAAACAAAAGCAAGGAGAUCUCAGGAAGGAACACCGUAUCUUCUGUCGGCUGUGAGUAUUUUCUUCAGAAUCCCCCAUUUUCCAUGUAAGAAUUGCAGAGCUCCAUUCAUCUAGCACGUCAUCCAUAUCAUAGCAUACAUCUUUGAGCUUGUCUACCCAAUCCCUUACAGCCUUAUCCUUCACUUGUUUUCUAUCUGCAUUUUCUCUAAAAUAAAAUGACUCGUAAAUAAUGUAAUGCUAAUGCCACUAUUAUUGUACUUAAAUUUACUAGAUGAGUGAAUUAAAAUAUAUUUUAUUUGAAUAUAGGAUUUCUUUAGAUAAAAGAAUUCAUAGAUAUUAUAAUAAUCAUAUAAUUAUGUAGCGCAAUACAUUGCAAUUUCACAAUAUUAUUAUGUGACUUUUAAUAGUUAUGCAUAGUCUAUUUUUAAAAAAAAUCUGUGAGGUUGAUCAAAAUAAAAAAGAAAUAUUAGAAUUUCUAUAAUCAUGUUUGUGAUCGAAUAUUUGACUAUAUUUAUUUUAAUCAUUUUAUCAUAAUAAUUUUAUUACAAAUAUAGUUAUUUAUGCAUUCAAAUAUGAUAAGGAAUUGUGAAAAAGGGAAUUUACUACUAUUUUACUAUAUUGAUUUGUUCUAACCAGCCAUCACAAUAACCAUAUUUUGUAUAGCACAAAAGAUAUAAAGAAAAAGAAAGAUAAUCGUAAGAACCCGCUAUCUAGUAAAAUAAUAUAUAUAUAUAUAUAUAUAUAUAUAUAUAUAUAUAAAUCAAGGUACUGAAUUAACUAAUUUUAACAGAUAUUCUAUAAGAUAAUGAAAUCAAUGUAUAAUGAACUAUAAAUGUAGAAAAGUAAUUAAGUACCUGUUGAUUAUAAAAGAAAGAAAGGAAACAAAAAAGAGUACCUGUAGAGUAACGAUCGUGGUUAACUGGUCCAAAAUCGGGGAUACAAGUGCGUCAGCCAUUGUUGUUCUUACUACUGAAUGUGUCAAGAAAAAGGAGAGAAAGUAAUGGGGCGUUGUUGACUGAUGAAAUGAGAAGUUGAUGAAGAUAGGAAGGAUAGUGAUCGACUGUGGAGUGCCAGAGAAAAUUAAUUUGAGGUUAUUUUCAAUGAAGUUUAGGCAAUAUAUACUGCAAAUUAAGAUAAUUUGCUUAAGACUGAUGCAAGGUUGAUGCAAGCAAAGAAUGAUUCUGAACUUCAGCAUAAAGCAGCUAAUUUCCUACAAGGUUGAUGCAAGCAAAGAAUGUCACUGAAACAACGAGAAAAUAUGCGUAAGAAGGAAAAGGAAAAGGCAAAGGUAAGUCUAGAACUAGCCAUUGCUUCACUUUGGGUUCAAGUAUAAUGCAUCAGUCAUCAGUCAUUUUCCUAUUUGUAUGUUUAUAUGGAAAUGACCUGUCGUUUUGAGUUCCAAAAGUGAAAGGCCCAUUUUUUUGCCUUAAUUUUAAAACAAAUAAAUAAUCAUUAACAUACCUAAAAAUAAAAUUUAAAAAUUAAAAGAUAAAUAUAGAUCAAGAUAUUUAAUUUUACAAGAUGAGACAUUUAUCUAUUUGCUAAAUUUUUUUAUUAAUUUUUUUUAAUUUAAUCAAACAAUAAUAAAAAUAAACAAAUAUAUUAAAUUGAUUGAAUAAAAUAAAAAGAAAACAGGAAUAAUAUGCAAGGCUACACAUAUUAGAAAUAUCAUCUAAAAAAAUUGAUUGAAUAAAAUAAAAAGAAAACAGGAAUAAUAUGUAAGGCUACACAUAUUAGAAAUAUCAUCUAAAAAUAAAUAUUUUUUAUUUUUAAAAAUACAGUUCAUCUAUACAAAAGACAAAAAAAAUUAUAAAUAAAUCAGAAAAAUCUCUUUAAAAAUUAAACAUAUAACAAAAAAAUCAAUAUUAUUUAAAAGAUACUGUCUGAACAAAAUUCUACUGUGGAGCGCAAGAGAAAAUUAAUUUGAGGUUGUUCUCAAUGAAGUUUAGGCAUUGAGAACAAAGAUCAAAUUGGAUGUUUUGCACUUUGGAGUUUGGAUAAUGAUAUUGUAAUGUUUUGAAUUAAUGAGAUAGGAAAAGCCUAGAAACCCCUUGAAGGCUUAGAUGUAGGAAUAAAUUAAAUGAGGGGUAUAGUAGUAAUUGGAUAAAUAGUUGAUAAAUAUAAAUAGGAAGUAAAAAAAUAAAAUAAAUAUAGAAAUCUGAUUUUGAGAGGAAGAGAAUCGGCAGAAGUGAGAAAGGAAAGAAGAAGAAGAGAAAAGAGGGGAAAAUAAGGGGAAAAAGGAAGAGAAUUGGAGGAAAUAAGUGAAAAAGGUAAGAUUUAGGUUGUUUAAUGUGUAUAAUAUGUUAAUUAAGUUUUAAUUUCAGUUUUAUGAAUGUUAGGGUUUUGAGAAUUUGUGUUCGAUUUAAAUGAUGAAUUAAAUUGAAGGUUAGGGGUGAUUGUUGUUGUUUAAUUGAUGAUUUAGUUGAUUAUGGAAGAUUAUGAUGAUUUGAGUUAUAGAAUUGUGUAAAUGGUGAAAAUUGAGUUAGAAAUCAGGGAGAACAGUGGGGUUUCUGUUAAAAUCUGGACUGGAGGUUGAAGAUGACGAAAAAUUCAAUUUGGUCCCUCAAUUCAGAAAAUUACAGUUAGUCCCCGAACUUUGGAAAAUUACAAAUUGGUCCCUGGAGCAUAUUCCGAGAUUCUGAACAGAAUAACAUAUGAAUUAUGGACAUAAUUACUGUAUAGAUAAGAGAAUUUAACACUUUCAAUUUAGUCCUCCAAUUUGACAAAAAGUACAAUUUGACCCUAAAAAUUUAGUAAAAUUCCAGAAUGAUCCCUGAAGCAUAAUGAUACAUCCUGGACAGAAUUGAGGAUUAAUUAAGGUCAGAAUUUCAGUAUAUUCAUGGAUUUAUGACAAAUUUCAGUUUGGUCCUCCAAUUAGACAAAAGUUACAAUUUGGCCCUAAAAAUAUGAUAAGUUCCAGAUUAGUCCCUAGCUGUAAUAUUAGCUUUUGCAGAUUAGUUUGAUGAAUAAUUAAGGGUUAUUUAGUGAAUUAUUACCAAUUUUAUUAGUUGUUUUUAUUAUGGAUUAGAUUUCGGGAAAACCGUUAGAUUUUGGGUUUUUAAGAAAAUUGACUAGUUAGUUCAAAAACAUAUAGGGUUACGGAAUACACCCUUAGUUAAGUGUAUUAAAUAUUAAAUGUUCUUUCGAGUCGUUUUUGAAUAUGUCUCCUUUGUAUUCAGAUAAUCCUGAUAUUCUACCGGCAGGACGUCAGUAGAAUUUCCUUCGGUUUCAGCUUGUGUGUGUUGUUUGCUUUUGAGUCAGGUGAGUGGAUAAUUUUCCAUAUGCAUGAGAAAUAUUAUAAAUAUUUGAUUUGUUAAUAUGAAUUGGAUCAUGCUUCUUGAUAAUAUAUAUGCUGAUUAUUAUCCUUGAUAUGAUAAAGCAUGAUCAAUUAUUGAAUCUGAUUUCUUGAUAUGAACCAAUAUGAUUUGACUUCUGAAUUGAUAGCUCCUCAUUUGAUGGAUGUCAUGAGUUGAGCUUUGAGAUAUGAAUAUGUUUGUUUGAUUAUGAUUAUGAACCUAUGGUAUGUCAGUCAGAAUACCCAUGCUAACAGGGUAGUGUUAGUCUUUGUGCACAUCGUAUCUGAACCCUAGUUGGUCGGGGGAGUCACCAACCUGUGUGGACUGAUCAUCCCACAGUACGGAGCCUCAUGCUCAUUGCAUUUUGAUUUUCUGACGAGUUUUACCAUAUGAUAUUCUUGUUAUGGCCUAUUUGAUAAACCUUCGUAUAAGAACUAAAGCCAUACUUGUAUAUAUAUUUCUCAUUGUUAUAUUACCUCGUAUGUGUAUAUUGAAUGUUAUCUACUCACUGAGUUGUUGAACUCACCCUCUCAUUAUUUAUUCUUUUCAGGCUUAUAGCUUGAUAGCGGGUUACUUUUGUUGAACCUUCCGAACCUGCUUUUGGUUGUAAUUUGUAUCUUUCUUUUUAUGUCAAGUUAGUGCUCCAAAACUAUGAAAAAUUAUUAACUCUUGUAUUAAGACAAUUACAUUAUAUUAUGAAGUUGUUUGUUGUUAAUUAUGCGUUAAACUCUGAUUGAGUUGUUUAAAGGAUUGUAUGUAAGUUUGGGUUCGCAUAGGUUUGGAACCUUGGAGGGGAACCUUGCCUAUGUGCCGGUCAUGGAUCCGGGAUUCGGGUCAUGACAGAUAUUAAUCUUUGUUGUUUGGGGAUUAAGAAUUUGGUGAUAAAUUUCUUGUUGUGAAAUAGUUAUGGUAAAAUAUAAGAUAAAUCCUAGUGAACACGUCUUCCCAAAAUACACUGCGUGUACUGGACUCUCAAUGUUCAUUUUUGCCUCAUUUUGCCUUAAUUAAUUUUAACUGCAAAACAACUAGCUCAGUACCGCACCAGCAAACGAGAAUGGAAAAGCUCACCAAGAUGCCCUCAAAUUAAUGGAGUCAAUGGAGAAAAAAACUGGAGCUGCUGGAGGCCAGACGGCACAUGGUGGAAUAGUUCAUGCCCUGGCAUGCGUCAUCACUGUUCCACCAUGUGCCGUCGCGACCUCCAUUGAACAACAAUGAAAAACAUAUACGAAUUUAGCUUCAUGUCUUUAUAAGAGAAUUUCAUAAACAUACCAUAACAAAAAAUAUCAUAAAAUAAAUCUCUUAAAAAAUAAAAAUACAAUAAACAUGUAGGUUCAUAUUAUAAGAUAAUCAGUUUAUAUAAAUUGUUGACACCCCCAAUCAAUUAAGGAUCAAAUACGAUAUAUAUAAAUAUUAACAAUUAACAAGAUCUUAUUAGCAUGAAUAUUCUAACUAUUAUAUCAUAGGGUUAUAAUCAAACGAACAAAAUCAUUUUCUAAAAGCUCAACUCAUAUAAUUAAUUAAAUAAAAAACUAUCAAUUUAAAAAUACAUAAUUGCUCAAAUCAAGAAAUCUAUCUCAAUAAAUAAUAAUGUUUUAUAGAACAACAGAUAAUAAAUAUUAUAUAAAUUACUAAGAAGUACUAUCAAUUUAAUAUUAAUAAUUUGACUAUUUAUACUACUCCUCUGCAGCAUAUGAGAUAGUAAGUGAUAGAAUGGUCCCCAUGUUAUGGUUUAUAUUUUGCUUUAAACAGAGUAUAGUUGUACUAAAAAUACACCCCUUUCCCGAAAGGAAGGGGAAGAACACAAUCAAGGGAUUUCUUGUUGUUUGACUUCUCAUGUUUCUCUCCCACCACGGGCAACUGUUUAUUUUCGCCAAGGUGAAUUGAGGCUUCAAGUAGAAGAAAUUAUUUACUGGUUAGAAACUUGGUCGAUUUCACUGUUGUCUUUGAGACAAAUGAAACUGAGGUUUUUGGUUUGCAAUUUGGGCAGAUAAGGAUAAUCCUUAUUGUUUGGUGUUUGAGAAUUUGGUGCUAAAUUUCUUGUUGUAAAUUGCAGAAAAUAGUCAGGGUAAAAAUUUAAGAUGAAUGCUAGGGUACACAUCUUCCCAAAAUGCACUGGGUUCUGGAUUCUCAAUGUUCAUCUUGCAGUUUGACAAGAGAAUCUUUCCUUCACUUACACUAUCUUUUUGUUUGUUUGGCCGAUGCAUGAUUUUUUUACCUCAUUUUUCCUUGAUAAAUUCUAACUACAAAACAGCUACUUCACCAACAAGAUGGAAAAGGCUCACCAAGAUGUUCUCUUUGAAAAGAUUCUCAGUGAGUCGUUGACAUCUCAUUUUUGGAAUUUCUCCAAUAGCUUGAUGUCUACUCUCACUAUAUUGAGUAGGAUGACUAUAGAAUUACUCUGAUUUAUCAACACAUAUCAAAUUCUUGCUGCUGCUGAGGAAGAUAUCUGCACUUAGCCAUCAUAGAGGGUAGCGAAUUUUGUGUUGAUGGAAAUUACACUGACUCAUUGUGUACCAUCUAGAAUUCAAUUUUAAAAAAAAUUGCAAGAAAUGUUGUUUUUUCCUAAAUACAUCAAUCGGGUGUGGAUAGCUUGAUUAAAAUGCGACUUACUAAAAAGUCUUGGUCUUAAUAUGCAAAGAUGAUCCAAGUAUACCAUAUUUCUUUUAAAAUAAAACCCACAGAUCUAGUCCACGCAAAGGUACUGGAAUAUGGAUUUGUAAAAAUAAAAAUGAAAAUUUAUACGAAAUUGAAUUGUGCUAAAAAAACCCACAGAUCUAGUCCAUGAUCUACGGCUCCUCCAGAGUUCCGUAGUGGUGUCUUUCUCAACUAUUCUUUAAAUAAAAUGUGUGGGAUGUGAGAAAUCUUGUGCCUAUCUUCACCCCUCUCCUCCUUCCCGUAACGUUUCCUUAGAGAAUUUAUGUAGAGGCGCUGUCAAAACAUAGUCCGGUAGUGCUCUCAACAAUGGGCAUUUGAGAAUUCUAAACUCAACAAGUUGUGGCAUGAUGAAUAUUGAAGUCGUGGUGGAAUCUUCUUCUCCCACUCUCCUUUCAAUCCCAUCCCACUCCUCUAGUUCUUUGAGAUGCCAUAUGCUAAGUCUUUUCAAUUUGGGGAAAGCAGCGACUCUUGCAAUUUCUCCUUCAUUAAUAUUGGUAUUGCCACCAUUUUCUAUGCCUAAAAAUCCACCAUCCAACCUUCUCAGCUUCAUGCUCAUCCAUCUGAAAAUCUUGGAAGAAAGAACGUGCUACUAAGACUUGAAAAUACUCCUCUCCAACAAGCUCCAUACCUCUACUUGGAGUCUCCUUAAGAUAACCUUGAGCCAUCCACAUCUUCACCAACUGGUCUUUUUCCAUCUCGUAGUCUUUUGGAAACACCGUCUUGCCACAGAAGGUAAAUCGUAGUAACUCAAAAGCGGAGGUGGAAAUAGUGCUAUUUCAACAUGUUCUAGCUCCCACAGUUCGCUAGAUAAAACAUGUUCCCACUCUUCUCUUGUUCUUUUACACUGCACUAGACCUCCUAAUACCUUGGCAGCUAGAGACAAGCCCUUGAACUUGCUUGCAAGGAGAUCCCAGGAAGGAACAUCGUAUCUGCUGUAGGCUGUGAGUAUUUUCUUCAGCAUCCCUCAUUUUUCAUGUAAGAAUUGCAGAGCUCCAUUCAUCUAGCACAUCAUCG
rnacentral:lncRNA from 1 species